AGACCCGAAACCCGGUGAUCUAGCCAUGGGCAGGUUGAAGGUUGGGUAACACUAACUGGAGGACCGAACCGACUAAUGUUGAAAAAUUAGCGGAUGACCUGUGGCUGGGGGUGAAAGGCCAAUCAAACCGGGAGAUAGCUGGUUCUCCCCGAAAGCUAUUUAGGUAGCGCCUCGUGAAUUCAUCUCCGGGGGUAGAGCACUGUUUCGGCUAGGGGGCCAUCCCGGCUUACCAACCCGAUGCAAACUGCGAAUACCGGAGAAUGUUAUCACGGGAGACACACGGCGGGUGCUAACGUCCGUCGUGAAGAGGGAAACAACCCAGACCGCCAGCUAAGGUCCCAAAGUCAUGGUUAAGUGGGAAACGAUGUGGGAAGGCCCAGACAGCCAGGAUGUUGGCUUAGAAGCAGCCAUCAUUUAAAGAAAGCGUAAUAGCUCACUGGUCGAGUCGGCCUGCGCGGAAGAUGUAACGGGGCUAAACCAUGCACCGAAGCUGCGGCAGCGACGCUGAUGCGUUGUUGGGUAGGGGAGCGUUCUGUAAGCCUGCGAAGGUGGCCUGUGAGGGUUGCUGGAGGUAUCAGAAGUGCGAAUGCUGACAUAAGUAACGAUAAAGCGGGUGAAAAGCCCGCUCGCCGGAAGACCAAGGGUUCCUGUCCAACGUUAAUCGGGGCAGGGUGAGUCGACCCCUAAGGCGAGGCCGAAAGGCGUAGUCGAUGGGAAACGGGUUAAUAUUCCCGUACUUGGUGUUACUGCGAAGGGGGGACGGAGAAGGCUAUGUUGGCCGGGCGACGGUUGUCCCGGUUUAAGCGUGUAGGUGUGUGUUCCAGGUAAAUCCGGUUCACUUUAACACUGAGGCGUGACGACGAGGCACUACGGUGCUGAAGCAACAAAUGCCCUGCUUCCAGGAAAAGCCUCUAAGCAUCAGGUAACAUCAAAUCGUACCCCAAACCGACACAGGUGGUCAGGUAGAGAAUACCAAGGCGCUUGAGAGAACUCGGGUGAAGGAACUAGGCAAAAUGGUGCCGUAACUUCGGGAGAAGGCACGCUGACACGUAGGUGAAGUGAUUUACUCAUGGAGCUGAAGUCAGUCGAAGAUACCAGCUGGCUGCAACUGUUUAUUAAAAACACAGCACUGUGCAAACACGAAAGUGGACGUAUACGGUGUGACGCCUGCCCGGUGCCGGAAGGUUAAUUGAUGGGGUCAGCGCAAGCGAAGCUCCUGAUCGAAGCCCCGGUAAACGGCGGCCGUAACUAUAACGGUCCUAAGGUAGCGAAAUUCCUUGUCGGGUAAGUUCCGACCUGCACGAAUGGCGUAAUGAUGGCCAGGCUGUCUCCACCCGAGACUCAGUGAAAUUGAACUCGCUGUGAAGAUGCAGUGUACCCGCGGCAAGACGGAAAGACCCCGUGAACCUUUACUAUAGCUUGACACUGAACAUUGAGCCUUGAUGUGUAGGAUAGGUGGGAGGCUUUGAAGCGUGGACGCCAGUCUGCGUGGAGCCGACCUUGAAAUACCACCCUUUAAUGUUUGAUGUUCUAACGUGGACCCGUUACCCGGGUUGCGGACAGUGUCUGGUGGGUAGUUUGACUGGGGCGGUCUCCUCCUAAAGAGUAACGGAGGAGCACGAAGGUUGGCUAAUCCUGGUCGGACAUCAGGAGGUUAGUGCAAUGGCAUAAGCCAGCUUGACUGCGAGCGUGACGGCGCGAGCAGGUGCGAAAGCAGGUCAUAGUGAUCCGGUGGUUCUGAAUGGAAGGGCCAUCGCUCAACGGAUAAAAGGUACUCCGGGGAUAACAGGCUGAUACCGCCCAAGAGUUCAUAUCGACGGCGGUGUUUGGCACCUCGAUGUCGGCUCAUCACAUCCUGGGGCUGAAGUAGGUCCCAAGGGUAUGGCUGUUCGCCAUUUAAAGUGGUACGCGAGCUGGGUUUAGAACGUCGUGAGACAGUUCGGUCCCUAUCUGCCGUGGGCGCUGGAGAACUGAGGGGGGCUGCUCCUAGUACGAGAGGACCGGAGUGGACGCAUCACUGGUGUUCGGGUUGUCAUGCCAAUGGCACUGCCCGGUAGCUAAAUGCGGAAGAGAUAAGUGCUGAAAGCAUCUAAGCACGAAACUUGCCCCGA
rnacentral:rRNA from 1 species